rnacentral:ncRNA from 1 species
UGUACGAAAAGGCAAAGCUAUUGAAAAGUAGUGACGUAAAGCUAGAGGGGCUACCGCUUGGAUAAGCCAUGCCAGCCAGCUGCCGAA